rnacentral:rRNA from 1 species
AGAGUUUGAUCCUGGCUCAGAAUCAACGCUGGCGGCGUGCCUAACACAUGCAAGUCGCACGAGAAAGGGACUUCGGUCCUGAGUACAGUGGCGCACGGGUGAGUAACACGUGAAUCAUCUACCUUCGAGUGGGGAAUAACUGAGAGAAAUCUUAGCUAAUACCGCAUAAUACCUACGGGUCAAAGCAGCAAUGCGCUUGAAGAGGAGUUCGCGGCAGAUUAGUUAGUUGGCGGGGUAAUGGCCCACCAAGACGAUGAUCUGUAUCCGGCCUGAGAGGGCGCACGGACACACUGGAACUGAAACACGGUCCAGACUCCUACGGGAGGCAGCAGUGGGGAAUUUUGCGCAAUGGGGGAAACCCUGACGCAGCAACGCCGCGUGGAGGAUGAAAUCCCUUGGGAUGUAAACUCCUUUC